rnacentral:lncRNA from 1 species
UGUAGGAAAACAGGAUGGCAGAGGAAGAAUACUGACUGAGGCUGUGAAGCCAAGCUGAAGUUUAUCUCCAGAUACAAAACCUGACAGGAUUUUAAUCCCCCUGCAAUCACGAUGACUGUGUAUUCAGCAGAAGUAAUACCCACUCAUUACUGGUGGACCUUCAGCUUCACAGACCAUAACAGCAUUGAUCCUGUCACUGCAUCUACAGAAAGUCUGUGCUGGAGAAUCUCUGCAUGGAUGGAACGUAAAGUGAAGGAGACUAUUAAACAGUACAACACAUACAGAUGGGAUGACAAGAAAUGAAGUACAGCUGAAAAUAUGCCACUGGUGUGUACAAUGGUUUUACAUUUUCGGUAUUACUCUAAUGUUUUAUCUGCAUUUUCAGCUAUCAAAUCACACUUAGCAGAUGUUUUACUGGGCUGUCUACAGUGAUUCCCUGCUCUUUUUUCUGUGCGAUGAUUGUGAAUUAAGCACUGUCUGGGAGCAUUUGAGUGUGCACUAUCGGGCAUUUAUCAACUCUGAAAUUCAGCUGUUUCUCUUCUGAUUAUCUGCAUAUUUGUAAGCUGUAAUACAGAAAGACAUUAAUGUUUGUGGCAUCUCUCAGUUUGAUCACCU